GAGAAGACUGGUCUUGAUGUUCUGGUUCUUAGCUGGCGACUUGAUCCAAUGUAAAGGGCUUAGAUUGCUUCAUUUGAAUUGAAUGGAUAGGAUGAGUCAAGGCUGUAAAGGUAAAGCACCUUUACCUUUCCAGCUCAUACCAACAGCUCACCUUAUCCAUUUGAAUCUUCCCUUGCCUCCAAGAGUCUCCAACGGUCACAUGAUUCAAACUAAGUCGCGCCCACACAUUGCACAACUUGGGCAAGGCUGAUCCGGAUGAUGGCCGAACUGGAUAGGUUGUACGGACGCUGUACGGCCUUGAGGUCCGUACACUCGCCCUAUGCCUUCAUCUAACUUCCUUCUAAGGUUGACCCUUACAACGCCCUAUCUUUGCACCAUACUUCCAUCUUCUCUCUAACUCCUCCAAAGCCUUCAUAUGAUCAGUAUAAGUCUUUCCUAGACUUAACCUCACAAGAUAACUACUUCAGAACACUUCUGAAGCUUGAUUGAACUCUUCUAGACAUCUUCUAGAGCUUGCCCUAUUAUUGUACAAGCUCCAUCUCCUCUUCAGUUCAACACUCCCCCUCAAGCUUGACUUUAGGAGAUCCUAAGCCAAGCUUGGAACUCUGAAGAGUCUCCCUCAUUAAAAACCUUACAAGGAAAACCCAUUGGGACAAAACCUUGCAAGGGAAAAAGAGUAGAGCUCUCCAAAGCCUAGGGAUUGGCCAGUGAGCUCUUGUGCCUUAGAACCAAUGUGGUUGGACACAAGAAGCUCUGGAUCACGGCCUAACAGGUGCAGCAACUCUUCACAGCUUUGCGCACACUUCACACUUCACACUUCAGCUUCACCUCUUCAUGGAACCGGUUUGAAGUCUCCCCCUCUCAACUGACUUCAUAGCCAUCUUAGAGAAGCUAGGACACGACCAGAUCAUCUUUGAAACACUAGUGAGGCUGAUCAACACUUCACACACGGCUUGCCCUCUUCAUAGAACUGGUUUGGAUCUCCCCCUCUCAACAGACUUCUCAGCCAUCUUAGAGAAGCUAGGAACUGACCAGGAACAUCUUUAGUGAGGCUCAAGCAAUGGUACCUGAUACAUUAUCCCAAAGGUGCAUCAGUACCUAUCAAAGACAAGAAAAUGAAUAUCCUGCAUCACAUUUGAUGCACACAAUCUCACAAUUCAAUCAUAAUCAUCUUAAGUAUCUUUUCAAGCACAAGUAAUGAAUAAGAUGAAUGAAAAAGAUUGAAAAGAGUUUUAAAAGUCUAAGGGAACUUCCCUUGUGUUUUUGUGAGUUUCCAAACUCGGCCAAAGCAUCAUCUUCAUGGCAUCAUCAACUUCUUGG
rnacentral:lncRNA from 1 species